rnacentral:lncRNA from 1 species
GCACUUAUUAAGUGCUUGUUGGUUCAAAUACAAAGAACAGUGAGAUGAGUUAUUUUUUUUUUCAAUCUGCAUGGUACAGAGGAGAAAUCUCAAAUCCCAGCCCAUGGGCCAUGCUGACCUGAUUACAGACAGCCCUAUAAGGGUCUUGAAUGCUUUCUAACACAGUCCAUACGGGAUGCAGCCUCAAGAAAUGCUAUUAGACAAAGUAUAUCCUAGCAGCAGAAGCCCAGGCUUACAAAGCCAGAAACAGUCGGUUACCAGCAGACGUGUAUCUAUUGUCUCAUAGAUACAGCCUCACAGAGUCAGCUAAGGAGAGCCCUGGGAAAAGCCUAAAGAGACUAUCAAAAGAUAUUUCAGAAAGUGAUGUUAUAAACUAAUGAGUCAUACCUGACUGCACUCAUCUGUCUGUAGCAUAAAGAGAUCAUGGCUCUAGCAUCACAAGAUCAUCAACCUGCUCAUGGAAACCUGCUGAUAAUUCCUUCAGUGACUAUUAAACAAGUAGGCUGGAUUUUCUCUGACCAGUAAGUUUGAAGGGCAUGAUAGUUGUUUUCAAGUAUUUGAAGGGCUUUCAUAAGCACAAGAGACCAGAUUCGUUCUGCUCCACAAGACACAACUAGAAGCCUGGGCCAGGGAAGAGGAGGACAGAUUGGGGCAUGGUAUAAAGAAUAACUUACUAACAACCAGAGUUGCCCAAAAGUGGAAUGAGAUCCCCUUUACUGGGGAUCUUUCACUGGAUGCUGCAUGACUCCUUGGUGAUUGUAAAAGAGAUUUCCAUUCAGCCAUGAGUUAAACAAGAUGAUCUCUGAUGUCACUGUCCUAUCUAUCCCCAGGCC